UGUGAGGCUGAUGUGUAGGCAAAUCCGCGCAUCAUUAAGGCUGGGCUGUGAUGGGGAGCGAAAAUUGCAGUAGCGAAGGUCAUGAGUUCAGGCUGCCAAGAAAAGCCUCUAGCCAGGUGAAGGUGCCCGUACCGCAAACCGACACAGGUAGGCGAGCAGAGUAUGCUAAGGCGCUCGGAAGAACUCUCGUUAAGGAACUCGGCAAAAUGACCCCGUAACUUCGGGAGAAGGGGUGCCUCGGUAGGGUGAGUAGCCCGAGGGGGCCGCAGUGAAAAGGCCCAAGCGACUGUUUAGCAAAAACACAGGUCUGUGCGAAGCCGUAAGGCGAAGUAUACGGGCUGACGCCUGCCCGGUGCUGGAAGGUUAAGGGGAGUGGUUAGCCGCAAGGCGAAGCUAUGAACCGAAGCCCCAGUAAACGGCGGCCGUAACAAUAACGGUCCUAAGGUAGCGAAAUUCCUUGUCAGGUAAAUUCUGACCCGCACGAAUGGCGUAACGACUUGGGCGCUGUCUCAACGAGAGAUCCGGUGAAAUUUUAAUACCUGUGAAGAUGCAGGUUACCCGCGACAAGACGGAAAGACCCCAUGGAGCUUUACUGCAGCUUGAUAUUGGACUUUGGUACGAUCUGUACAGGAUAGGUGGGAGCCUUGGAAACCGGAGCGCCAGCUUCGGCGGAGGCAUCGUUGGGAUACCACCCUGAUCGUAUCGGAGUUCUAACCUGGUACCGUGAUCCGGUACAGGGACCGUGUCAGGUGGGCAGUUUGACUGGGGCGGUCGCCUCCUAAAAUGUAACGGAGGCGCCCAAAGGUUCCCUCAGAAUGGUUGGAAAUCAUUCGUAGCGUGCAAAGGCAUAAGGGAGCUUGACUGCGAGACCUACAAGUCGAGCAGGGACGAAAGUCGGGCUUAGUGAUCCGGUGGUACCGCAUGGAAGGGCCAUCGCUCAACGGAUAAAAGCUACCCUGGGGAUAACAGGCUUAUCUCCCCCAAGAGUCCACAUCGACGGGGAGGUUUGGCACCUCGAUGUCGGCUCAUCGCAUCCUGGGGCUGAAGUAGGUCCCAAGGGUUGGGCUGUUCGCCCAUUAAAGCGGUACGCGAGCUGGGUUCAGAACGUCGUGAGACAGUUCGGUCCCUAUCUGUCGUGGGCGUAGGAAAUUUGAGAGGACCUGUCCUUAGUACGAGAGGACCGGGAUGGACGCACCGCUGGUGUACCAGUUGUUCCGCCAGGAGCAUAGCUGGGUAGCUACGUGCGGACGGGAUAAGCGCUGAAAGCAUCUAAGCGUGAAGCCCCCCUCAAGAUGAGAUUUCCCAGUAUGUAAGACCCCUGGAAGACGACCAGGUUGAUAGGUUCGAGGUGGAAGCGCAGCAAUGCGUGGAGCUGACGAAUACUAAUCGGUCGAGGGCUUAUAC
rnacentral:rRNA from 1 species